rnacentral:rRNA from 1 species
CCUACGGGAGGCAGCAGUGAGGAAUAUUGGUCAAUGGACGCAAGUCUGAACCAGCCAUGCCGCGUGCAGGAUGACGGCCCUAUGAGUUGUAAACUGCUUUUGUACGAGGGUAAACCCCGAUACGUGUAUCGGGUUGAAAGUAUCGUACGAAUAAGGAUCGGCUAACUCCGUGCCAGCAGCCGCGGUAAUACGGAGGAUCCGAGCGUUAUCCGGAUUUAUUGGGUUUAAAGGGUGCGUAGUCGGUUUGAUAAGUUAGAGGUGAAAUGUCGGGGCUCAACCCCGAAACUGCCUCUAAUACUGUGUGACUAGAGAAUAGUGGCGGUAGGCGGAAUGUAUGGUGUAGCGGUGAAAUGCUUAGAGAUCAUACAGAACACCGAUUGCGAAGGCAGCUUACCAAACUAUAUCUGACGUUGAGGCACGAAAGCGUGGGUAGCGAACAGGAUUAGAUACCCCAGUAGUC